GGGAUUGUGGCUCAGCGGUAGAGCCCUCACCCAGCACGGGCGGGACCUGGGUUUGAUUCUCAGCUUCUCA
rnacentral:tRNA from 1 species